UUGCAACAUAACCAUUUCAUACAUUGCUCACUUGACUAACAUUAAUCAUUUUUCAUGUCAUUUAGCCAAAUCAAAACAUGUCAAUUUCAUAUGCUAUAAAUCAUGCUGAAAUUUCAUAUACACAAGUAAAUCAAUUUAUAUAUAUUCGGUCAUUUAAUAAGACUUCAAUAUAACAGUUAAAACAUAUUCAUUCUUGCCAUCGUAAACCAAACAUAAAUAGUCAAAUAUCAUAGCCGAACAUACAAUAACAUAUAUAUAUAACAAUUUGACCUUUACAUCCCAAAUCACCAAAAUUCAUGACAUAAGUACAUAUGUAUUCAUUUAUCUAUCAUCAACCAAAUAUAACAGCUCAUUACUGCCAUUUCCCAAACUAAUAAAUAAACAAAUUACAGUCAAAAUGUAAUUCAAUAAUAAAUCAUACCCAAAACACAUCCAACAACCAUACUUAAUUCACUUGAGCCGAAUUAUAACAACCACAAAUGCAUAUCAUACCAAUUAACAAUCUUACCAAGAUGAGCUAAUUAUAAACCAUACUUAUCAUUACUUCAUACCAAAUCAUAUAUCUAAGUAAAAUGAUUUUUUUUCAAAAUCAUCAUGAUGAAA
rnacentral:lncRNA from 1 species